GACGUAGGGCGCGAGCGUUGUCCGGAUUUAUUGGGCGUAAAGAGCUCGUAGGCGGCUUGUCGCGUCACCUGUGAAAACCCGUGGCUCAACCAUGUGGUCUGCAGUCGAUACGGGCAGGCUAGAAUUCGGUAGGGGAGACUGGAAUUCCUGGUGUAGCGGUGAAAUGCGCAGAUAUCAGGAGGAACACCGGUGGCGAAGGCGGGUCUCUGGGCCGAUAUUGACGCUGAGGAGCGAAAGCGUGGGGAGCGAACAGG
rnacentral:rRNA from 1 species